CGGGGGGCUGCAGUUACGAAAACUUUACAAUGCACGAAAGUGUGAUAAGGGAAUUCCUAGUGCUCAUACUUUGUAUGGGCUUUUGUUAAGUGUAAAAAGCUUAGCGAAUAAGUGAUGGGUAAGACCGGUGCCAGCCGCCGCGGUAACACCGGCGUCACGAGUGGCAAUCAUGAUUAUUGGGCCUAAAGCGUCCGUAGCCGGUUUGAUAAAUUUCUUGUGAAAUUGUUUGGCUCAACCAAACAGCGUGCAAGAAAGACUGUCAGACUUGAAACCGGGAGGAGCUAGAGGUAUUCCAGGGGGAGCGGUAGAAUGCUAUAAUCCCUGGAGGACCACCUAUGGCGAAGGCUUCUAGCUAGAACGGAUUUGACGGUGAGGGACGAAAGCCAGGGGAGCGAUCCGGAUUAGAUACCCCAGUAGUC
rnacentral:rRNA from 1 species